rnacentral:rRNA from 1 species
AGAGUUUGAUCAUGGCUCAGGAUGAACGCUGGCGGCGUGCCUAACACAUGCAAGUCGAGCGAUUUACUUCGGUAAAGAGCGGCGGACGGGUGAGUAACGCGUGGGUAACCUGCCCUAUACACACGGAUAACAUACCGAAAGGUAUGCUAAUACGAGAUAAUAUAAGAGAUUCACAUGGAUUUCUUAUCAAAGCUGAGGCGGUAUAGGAUGGACCCGCGUCUGAUUAGCUGGUUGGUAAGGUAACGGCUUACCAAGGCGACGAUCAGUAGCCGACCUGAGAGGGUGAUCGGCCACAUUGGAACUGAGACACGGUCCAAACUCCUACGGGAGGCAGCAGUGGGGAAUAUUGCACAAUGGGCGAAAGCCUGAUGCAGCAACGCCGCGUGAGUGAUGAAGGCCUUCGGGUCGUAAAACUCUGUUCUCAAGGAAGAUAAUGACGGUACUUGAGGAGGAAGCCCCGGCUAACUACGUGCCAGCAGCCGCGGUAAUACGUAGGGGGCUAGCGUUAUCCGGAUUUACUGGGCGUAAAGGGUGCGUAGGUGGUCUCUUAAGUCAGGAGUGAAAGGCUACGGCUUAACCGUAGUAAGCUCUUGAAACUGGGAGACUUGAGUGCAGGAGAGGAAAGUGGAAUUCCUAGUGUAGCGGCGAAAUGCGUAGAUAUUAGGAGGAACACCAGUAGCGAAGGCGGCUUUCUGGACUGUAACUGACACUGAGGCACGAAAGCGUGGGGAGCAAACAGGAUUAGAUACCCUGGUAGUCCACGCCGUAAACGGUGAGUACUAGGUGUCGGGGGUUACCCCCCUCGGUGCCGCAGCUAACGCAUUAAGUACUCCGCCUGGGGAGUACGCUCGCAAGAGUGAAACUCAAAGGAAUUGACGG